GGAUAGUUCUUUUCAAACAAAAAAUGAUAUAAUCAACAUGGUGUCAAAUAAAAAUACAUGAAUGCACCUUUAAUAUGUUACCCAUGUAUUUUUGAGAUGGCAAUAUAGACUCAAAGUUUGUAGGUACAGUGCCGAAACAUGAGUGGUAUGAUACCAAAUCCACUCAUUUUAUCUUUGAUACAUCCAAUGGAACUUGCCAUGUGGAAAGUCCCCAGCCAACUUCAGGACAAAGAGAACGGAUCUGCAACAAUAGUGCAUUAAUCAGUAAUCUAUACAACACAUGUGCUAUUGAAGAGCAAUACUGCAAGAGGAACCCGGACUACUGUACAUUACCUGGACAGCAUGACACGUUUUCAGAGCAAAGGAGCAGACACCAAUCUGAUGUUGGAGACGCCACUUGGGUAGGGGAAGUCGCCAAAAGGCGGCGGCGGCGUCGAUUCUGGGGUAGUAGGACGGUGGUGCAGGUCGUCCAUGCGGAGGCGAGUCGUCGAGGUGGCCGGGGUUGGGCGCGUAGAGUAUGCAGGGUAGCGGGGCAGUGGUGGAGGUCGUCCCCUCGGCGGCGGAUCUGCCCGGUGCGCCUGGAACCAUGGAGCUCAAUCCUUGUCGGCCGGAGGCGGUGGCGAUCCUGCACCUGCUCUAGGUUGCGGGUCACCGCCCGGUGGUUGAUGGCGUCGCGCCGUCCUGGCUGCUGCGAU
rnacentral:lncRNA from 1 species